rnacentral:rRNA from 1 species
AGAGUUUGAUCCUGGCUCAGGAUGAACGCUAGCGACAGGCUUAACACAUGCAAGUCGAGGGGCAGCGGGGGCGUAGCAAUAUGCCUGCCGGCGACCGGCGCACGGGUGAGUAACACGUAUGUAACCUGCCCUAUGCAGGGGGAUAACCCGGAGAAAUCCGGCCUAAUACCGCGUAACACCUUAGGGGAGCAUUCUCUUGAGGUUAAAGGAGAGAUCCGGCAUAGGAUGGACAUGCGUCGCAUUAGGUAGACGGCGGGGUAACGGCCCACCGUGCCGACGAUGCGUAGGGGUUCUGAGAGGAAGGCCCCCCACACUGGUACUGAGACACGGACCAGACUCCUACGGGAGGCAGCAGUGAGGAAUAUUGGUCAAUGGCCGAAAGGCUGAACCAGCCAAGUCGCGUGAGGGAAGAAUGUCCUAAGGAUUGUAAACCUCUUUUGUCGGGGAGCAAAAAGGCUCUGCGGAGUCGUAUUGAGAGUACCCGAAGAAAAAGCAUCGGCUAACUCCGUGACAGCAGCCGCGGUAAUACGGAGGAUGCGAGCGUUAUCCGGAUUUAUUGGGUUUAAAGGGUGCGCAGGCGGCGUGUCAAGCAAGCGGUAAAAUAGCGGGGCUCAACCCCGUCGAGCCGUUUGAACUGGCGCGCUUGAGUUCAGGCGAGGUAGGCGGAAUUCGUGGUGUAGCGGUGAAAUGCAUAGAUAUCACGAAGAACUCCGAUUGCGAAGGCAGCUUACCAGUCUGCGACUGACGCUCAGGCACGAAAGUGUGGGUAUCGAACAGGAUUAGAUACCCUGGUAGUCCACACAGUAAACGAUGAGCGCUAGGUGUCCGGGUCGCAUGAGACUUGGGUGCCCGAGCGAAAGCGUUAAGCGCUCCACCUGGGGAGUACGCCGGCAACGGUGAAACUCAAAGGAAUUGACGGGGGCCCGCACAAGCGGAGGAACAUGUGGUUUAAUUCGAUGAUACGCGAGGAACCUUACCCGGGCUCAAACGACUCAGGAAUAUAUUGGAAACGAUGUAGCCAGCAAUGGUCUGAGUCGAGGUGCUGCAUGGUUGUCGUCAGCUCGUGCCGUGAGGUGUCGGCUUAAGUGCCAUAACGAGCGCAACCCCUACCGCCAGUUGCCAACGGGUAAAGCCGGGAACUCUGGCGGGACUGCCGGCGCAAGCUGUGAGGAAGGCGGGGAUGACGUCAAAUCAGCACGGCCCUUACGUCCGGGGCGACACACGUGUUACAAUGGCAGGUACAGCGGGAAGCCACCUGGUGACAGGGAGCGGAACCCGAAAGCCUGUCUCAGUUCGGAUUGGAGUCUGCAACUCGACUCCAUGAAGCUGGAUUCGCUAGUAAUCGCGCAUCAGCCAUGGCGCGGUGAAUACGUUCCCGGGCCUUGCACACACCGCCCGUCAAG